UGGGGAAUAUUGGACAAUGGGGGGAACCCUGAUCCAGCCAUGCCGCGUGUGUGAAGAAGGCCUUAUGGUUGUAAAGCACUUUAAGCGAGGAGGAGGGUACUGGUAUUAAUACUACCAGGUACUGGACGUUACUCGCAGAAUAAGCAACGGCUAACUCUGUGCCAGCAGCCGCGGUAAUACAGAGGGUGCGAGCGUUAAUCGGAUUUACUGGGCGUAAAGCGUGCGUAGGCGGCUAAUUGAGUCGGAUGUGAAAUCCCCGAGCUUAACUUGGGAAUUGCAUUCGAUACUGGUUAGCUAGAGUGUGGGAGAGGAUGGUAGAAUUCCAGGUGUAGCGGUGAAAUGCGUAGAGAUCUGGAGGAAUACCGAUGGCGAAGGCAGCCAUCUGGCCUAACACUGACGCUGAGGUACGAAAGCAUGGGGAGCAAACAGG
rnacentral:rRNA from 1 species